CGGGGGGACGGAAGGAUCAUUACAGUAUUCUUUUGCCAGCGCUUAACUGCGCGGCGAAAAACCUUACACACAGUGUCUUUUUGAUACAGAACUCUUGCUUUGGUUUGGCCUAGAGAUAGGUUGGGCCAGAGGUUUAACAAAACACAAUUUAAUUAUUUUUACAGUUAGUCAAAUUUUGAAUUAAUCUUCAAAACUUUCAACAACGGAUCUCUUGGUUCUCGCAUCGAUGAAGAACGCAGCGAAAUGCGAUAAGUAAUAUGAAUUGCAGAUUUUCGUGAAUCAUCGAAUCUUUGAACGCACAUUGCGCCCUCUGGUAUUCCAGAGGGCAUGCCUGUUUGAGCGUCAUUUCUCUCUCAAACCCCCGGGUUUGGUAUUGAGUGAUACUCUUAGUCGGACUAGGCGUUUGCUUGAAAAGUAUUGGCAAUGGGUAGUACUGGAUAGUGCUGUCGACCUCUCAAUGUAUUAGGUUUAUCCAACUCGUUUGAAUGGUGUGGCGGGAUAUUUCUGGUAUUGUUGGCCCGGCCUUACAACAACCAAACAAGUUGACCUCAAAUCAGGUAGGAAUACCCGCUGAACUUAAGAAAAAACGGGGGGAGAGAAAAAAACGGGCCUUAAUGGGG
rnacentral:rRNA from 1 species